CACUGGCAACGACACAAUCUCCUCUGCCUUCUUGCUGCUUCGUGUCCUGAACGUGGGAAGGAAGAGGCCUGCAAGCCUGUCAGAGCGAGAAAGCUCUUUUUGCCCACUCCCAGCAUGGCCUUCAAGAAGAAGCAGGUCUGACAGAGAGGUCUAUCCACCUCCGUCCCCCAGGCGUUCUGCGGCGGGCGCAGCUAGACACCCGGGCAGCAGCUAUUGAUCCGAAAGAGCUCGUCUGAAGUGUUCAUGUGCAGGGGUCUAGACCUCCAUACAAUCGUGCAUAUGGUCAACGUGGUCCUUAUACAGGGGGCAGAAUGGUGCUGCUGGCUCUUUUAUGACACAGACAUCAACUGCUACAUCGGCUGUCAUCCAACAAGACCAUAUGGGCAGAUUUUUGUCAGAGGAACCACGCUCCGUGGGGGGAGAGCCGUAACCCCCAUCCACAGCAGAAUGAUCAGGGCAGCUUAGCACCACACCCAACAGAUUUGGUCUUUGCUGAUGUCACAGACGACUCAUUUCCUAUGCAGCAUCAGAGGGGGGGAAACAGAUCUCACCUAAUCCAACAACAAUAAAGACCUGCUGGAAUAAAACAGCAGGAAGGACGAGACGUGCAAGAGCCAGCGCAUGUCCCACAGCAGCCCAGGUCUUCAUUCUUCCCGUCCUUGAG